AGAGUUUGAUGGUGGCUCAGAUUGAACGCUGGCGGCAGGCUUAACACAUGCAAGUCGAGCGGGGUGAUGUAGCUUGCUACAUUACCUAGCGGCGGACGGGUGAGUAAUGCUUAGGAAUCUGCCUAUUAGUGGGGGACAACAUUCCGAAAGGAAUGCUAAUACCGCAUACGCCCUACGGGGGAAAGCAGGGGAUCUUCGGACCUUGCGCUAAUAGAUGAGCCUAAGUCAGAUUAGCUAGUUGGUGGGGUAAAGGCCUACCAAGGCGACGAUCUGUAGCGGGUCUGAGAGGAUGAUCCGCCACACUGGGACUGAGACACGGCCCAGACUCCUACGGGAGGCAGCAGUGGGGAAUAUUGGACAAUGGGCGAAAGCCUGAUCCAGCCAUGCCGCGUGUGUGAAGAAGGCCUUUUGGUUGUAAAGCACUUUAAGCGAGGAGGAGGCUACUUAGAUUAAUACUCUAGGAUAGU
rnacentral:rRNA from 1 species